rnacentral:lncRNA from 1 species
CGUGAAAAUAGAUAAAAGAUAAACCAUGUAGUCAUAAAUUAAACACCUAGCCCCUGCAAGAACUUCUGAGAACUUAACACCAUAAAAUAGACACCUAGAAAGCUAUAAACCAUAAAAUAGACACCCAGAGAACUGAACACCAUAACAUAGACACCUAGAGAACUAAACACCAUAAAAAAGCCACCCAGAGAACUAAACACCAUAAAAUUGACACCCAGAGAACCAAACACCAUAAAAUAGACAUACAGAAAACUAAACACCAUAAAAUAGACACAUAGAAAACUAAACACCAUAAAAUAGAAAUAUGAAGACUUAAAAUAGAUAACUACAGGACUGAACAUCAUAAGCCAUAAUUUCAACACCUGGACCCUGCUAGAAUUUCUGAGAAGAAAAUACCAUAAAAUUAACAUCUAGAGAACUAAACACCAUAACAUAGACAACUGGAAUUCUAAACACCAUGACAUAGAAACCUGGAGAACUAAACACCAUAAAAUAGACACCAAGAGAACUAAACACAAUAAAACAGAGAACUAGGGAAAUAAACACCAUAAAAUAAGACACUUAAAGGACUUAACCAUAAAGUAAACACCAUAAAUUAAACACCUAGAAAACUAAACACCAUAUGGCCAUAAGGGUCAACAAACAUUAUGAAUAUUAUGUAGUAUAAUGUUAUGAAAUCAACAUUUCUUAAAUGAAUCCAACAGAGAAAACCAGGUUACAAGUCUCUCUGAGUACAUAUUUUGUAUCUACCGGUACAUACAAUUAUCACAACACAACAUAUAGGCUGUAACAAACCACAAUAAUAACAUUAUAAAAGUGACAACAGCCAAAAUAUCAAUUACCAAUAUAAACACAAAGAAAAGGAAUAAAUAAUACUACCGAAUAAUAAAGCAAAGGAAUAAAUAAUACUACCGACUAAUAAAGCAAAGAAAUAAACUA